GCGCACGGCGGCGAGCGCUAUCUGGAGCUGACCGUGCGGCUCUUAAUCCCUGGCCUUGGGAAAGUGAAUUGGCCUGAAUAGCAAGGAGGAGAACUUGGGUGUGGAAAUACCGGAAUCUCACUCUAUUGCUCAGGCUGGAGUGCAGUGGCCACAAAGCGGGAGAUUGGCACGAGGGAUACCAACACCGGAAUAUGUGAUGAGAUGUGUGAAGAGCAUGGCAAUGGAUGCAAACUCCCUUUGUGUUUCUGGCUUUAAGCAGCUCUAUACUCUCAUGCUGUCCUACACUCAGCAGCAAUUUGUCACAAGUUUGGGAAAUUCUUCCUACUCUUUUGAACUCCAGCCCAAUUUCCUUUCUAUCACUGCCCUAGGUCUUACUCUUCCAGAAGAAAAAGGGAAAACCCAACCUGAAUGUCCCCUAAAAGUGAAGAAAUGUCCACACUUCUAUGUGCAGAUUGUAGACCUUUGGAAUCUACAUUCAACAUUUGAUACUGCGUGUGACUCCUGAUGAACACGCUGAAGAUACAUGAUGUCCAGUAAUUUUUACUGGGGAUAAUACCUGCAAUAUACAUAAGAUGGUGUCAUUAAAGUACAUUUAAAAUUACACAAGACAUUUUAAAAUUACAUAAGUGUAUAUAAGGAGUUUAACACAAAUUUCAAUUACCUUGGCUUAAGAUGAUUUAGCUGUUUCGUAAGUUAACAAAGACCUACCAUUUACUUCCUACUUAGUCUAUGGCUGAAUUUGGCAUUUUUGAAAAUCUUUUGAUAGCCUCUGAGAACUUACUAUUAUUUGUACUCAUUUACUUCCUAAUGAAAGCUAUUAACAAGAUUUAUUUUAGGAAGUUUAUCUCAGACAGGUUUAUGUCCUUAUGGAGCUUUCAAUCUUAAUUUCAAAGACGAAAAGGAAAGUUGUGUGUGAAACAGCACAGAGUACUUUACAGCUUGUUGCAAGAGCUACAGGGAGCAGCAUGGACAGUGGAAACUCACAUAAAGUUCUUCAAAAUUUACUUUUUCUUUUGCUCCCUGAAAAUUGUAAUCAGUUCCUCUUUUCCUACUUAACAUGAAAAAUAAGUCCAAUGGAAUAGUCUGUUGAUUAAUAAAGUUCUAUCAUUUCUUCUUCAUGAAAUGACUAAUUUAACAAAUUAAAUCCUUCAUUUAUUAAGGUUUGUUUAUUACUUAUUUUUCCUCUAUUCCUUUCUCUGAGCUACAAAUCACAGAGAUUUAUAUUUACUUAAAAUUUUCUUAGCACUACCAAUUUGCCUAUUUAAUGAUCAUUUAUGGCCCAUCUGUUGUAUUACUUGGGAUAUUUUAAAUUGAAUUGAUAGAACUUUAUAUUCAAUUAAGUAGAAAUACCAAUUCCAGAGAAGGACUCACUAUCUUUAUUUAGACUAUGAUUUGGCUUUGUGUCCUCACCCAAAUCUCAUCUCAAAUUGUAAUCUCCACCUGUCAGGGGAGGGAUCAGGUUGGAGAUGAUUGGAUCAUGAGGGUGGUUUCCCCCACGCUGUUCUCAGGAUAUUGAGUAACUCAGGAUAGCUGAUGGUUUUAAAGUGUGGCACUUCCUCAUGCUUGCACUUCUCUCUCCUGCCACCAUGUGAAGAAGGGCCUUACUUUCCCUUUGCCUUCCACCAUGAUUGUAAGUUUUUUGAAGCCUCCCCAGCCAUGUGGAACUAUGAGUCAAUUAAACCUCUUUCUUUUAUAAAUUACUCAGUCUUGGGUAUUUAUUUAUUUAUAACAGUGUGAAAAUGGACUAAUAUAGACCAUGUGCAUAAUGCUUAACAAAUUAUUGCCAGAAGAAUUUGGCAUGUACCAUGAUGAGUCUAGACUGGGCUGUUUGCCCAGAGAAGAGGUGCUGGAGGGAGAAGUUGAAGAUAUGUGUAUAUAAGACAAAGGAGAAAACUAACCAAGUCUGAGAUGUAGUUUCCUUAAGAAUAAAACUUUAUAUUUUAUUAAUUUUUUUUUACUGUUCUUGGAAGAUAAUCUGGU
ensembl:lncRNA RNPC3-DT RNPC3 divergent transcript